UUUGUGAGUUCUUUGCAAAACUAAUGGCGGAGGGAGGAUCCGGGUUUUCUCUCACCGAAUUAGCAGAGGUAUCUUCAUCAUUAUUUACACAUUCUGCACUUGAUUUUGAAGGACAAGCAAGAGCAGCAGAAGCUUGUUUAUCCUCUGCCGACUCAACUGCAAAAUUCGUUAUCAGAAUAAAAAAAGAAGAAAACACCUACUAUUACCACAUAACAAUAAAGUUUACAAAUUUCAGCAGUAACUAAUAAAACGUAGAUCACUAGAUAGGCUUUGCAAAUAGUAGGGCAAAACAUAUUAUUAAAAACACAUCGAAGGUGGAAAGUUGAACGUAAAUAAGCAUAUAAACGGAGAACCUGAUAAUACUACAAGCUUAAGCAAUUAAGGACGAACACAAGUUAGAUGAAAACCUUUGGUUAAUUGACUUGUGGAUGCGACUAGAACUUCAUUAUCCUUUUUGAUCAGAUGGCAUGUUUCCACCAGGAAUCUGAAAAAGAUUGCGCAUGAACCACACUUUGGCUUGAUAGAGGCACUGCAUCUGAAGCUAAGUUACGAUAAAAAAAUUAUGGAUAGGAAACUUGUCAAUGACGAAAGGUCGAUAAAAAGGGAAAGAAGUAUGCAACUAAAAUUAUAAGAUACAAACUCAGUAACCUGCGUCCAGAAGCGAUGCCACUUCAGCACUGUCUUCCAUUAUCGUAUCUUCAAGGCUUUUACAUGCUGCUGUACCAUCGACCUGUUUAACUGUUGAAUCAAAGAAAACAGAACACACUUCCACCUUAGUAGAACACCCUAUAGCUGCGCAUGCUCUGCAUUGCAUGACUGCAUGCUCUGCGUUACAUGACUAAAAUUGUCAGUGACUGUACAACUUUCCUGUAGUAUCUACUCCCUCCGUCCCAAUGAAUUGUAUACAGUUUCCUUUUUGGGACGUCCCAUCAAUUGUAUACAUUCCAAAAGUAGUAAAUUUUUAUAAUAUAACACAUCAUUACACCAACUACUUUCUUCCACUAUCUCCAUUCUAUAAUAAUAUAAACACUAUUACACCCACUACUUUCCUCCACUAUCUCAAAUUUAUUAUUAAAUAUAAAUGGGUCCCACCACUAUACCCAAUUUUCAUCCAACUUUAGUCAUUUCUUACUCAGUUCCUUGGUCUCCGUGUCCCAGCCAUUUGUAUACAAAUGACUGGGACGGAGGGAGUAGAUAGCACAGUCAAGAUGCAUAUGUAUACCUUGUUCAGAUUCAGGUAAACUAACAAGCUCUAAAUCAGUUGCCCCUUGUAAAGAAAUUAUGAUUGUUAAGAAAUUUGAAAUAAAAAAAAAACAUGCUAAUUUGUGUUUUAAAUGAGAACUCUACACAUUUGCUUGUAUAUUCUAAAUUAAGAGUAUGAAUAUUUGUUUUAAUUUGUUGUGAAGGGGAUUUGAAUCAAGUAUUUUUAAAUUAUAAAUAGUGGAAUAUUUAUUAGCUUCCUUAGUAUUAGAUCUAACAGUUCUCAUCAAUUUAUUAUAAGAUCUAACGGUCAUUAUCAUUUCUAACACAUUGUUAACCAAUCUGGAAAACCAACCAGAUAAAACCUAUUCUGUUUAAGUAUAGUAUAGAUAGAUAGCUUCCAAGUUCCAACAUCAAAUAAGUUGACAUAAUAAUAUAUAGUUAAUAACUAUAAUCAAUAUACUAAAAAGGUUUUCUUUAUUUAUUUAUCUGUUGACAAUAAUGAUCUUUAAUGUAGGACAAGAUUAAAAAAUAAAGAACACACUUAAGUUAAGUUCAGGUUAAUCAAGGCAAUAAUUCCACCACCACUAUUUCAAUCACUGCAAACAGGAAACAUUGGUAUACUUUAAACAUUAUAAUCCACAUGAUGUCAGACGACAUUAAGGAAAAGGAUUGAUAAAGCCUCUACCCACAUUUAUGAAACAAUAAAUAAAUCCACAUAUUGAUCCAAUAAUCAUAAACUCAAAACUUUUUAUCAAAUCAUUAAUUUGGUACUCCCUCCGUCCCCUUUUACAUGUCCAUUUUGCUUUUCGAGAAGUCAAAUUGACCAACUUUUGACUAAACAUUACGAGUUAUUUAUCCCGUAUUUCUAAAAUCUAAAAGUUGCAUACUGAUAUAGACUCAAUAUACUUUCUAAUGAUAUAAUUUUUAUUAUUUUUCUCAAUUAUCUAAUAUAUGUAAAGCUCAGUCAAAAUGUAGUCAAUUUGACUAGUCAAAAGUCAAAAUGGACAUGUAAAAGGGGACGGAGGUAGUAUAUUACAAGAGAGUUUAUAUUAAAAUCCUUAAAACUAUGGAACAAGAAAAAUCUGAGAUAUAUUCUAACUAAGGAUUACUAAAUAUGGCAUUGUCAACAUAGAUUCGCCGCUUUUAGAAGUCAUUGGAUCCUUUUACACAUUCGAGAAUUCCCUCCCCUUUUCCACUCCAUCUGAAGAGUAACUAAGACCAAUUUAAAUACAUUUUCAUAUUCCAAUUGAACACUUUCCUUUUCUGAUUAUUCUAAAACUCAAAGGAGAAUAUUAUGUUCUUUACCAAACAUAUAUGUAUCCAAUCAUGAUCUUAUAAUAAGAACAAGAGAUUUUUCUCGAUCAAUAAGAUCAUUUCCAAGUUGAAAUUUGUUCAUUUGGAAUCUAGAACCCCGUAUUGUAACUUUUUUUUUUUUUGUAAGGUCUACAUAAUCGUAGAUGAAUUGUAUCGAAAUACAAUAAACCGCAACUGUGAUAUCUUUCUUUCAAAAAAGUUUAUCAUCUAACCGAAAGUCAUGCAAGCAUAACUCCGGACGUUUAGACAAUAAAGCUUAAAUGAAUUAGAAAAGAGUACCCAUACACUAACAGCUCGUUUCCAAAGUAUCCUGAGAAAAAAACAAUCAAAUAAAACAUAAAUCAAUAUACAAAAAAAUCUAAUAAAAACAAAAACUAAAAAGUAUACUCCCUCCGUCCCUUAUUUCUUUUCUGGUUAUGUGAAUUACACGGACUUUAAGAAACUAUGACUUUGGGUCAUCUGCAUUAACUUGCACUAACUACCAGUAAUUAUUGAUAAGCUUGUUUUUUAGCAGAACACAACAUUUAAUCCUCAUGUUAUGCUUUCAACCAAUUAAAUUACAGCAUCAAGUUUACACAACCAAUCAAAAAUCAGGAUUACAGGCACACAGAUUAAGCUAAAAUCACACACUUAUACACCAAAAGUUUAUGAAAAUAUAAACUCAAGAAAUAUUCUCUGAACAGCAAGCACUUGCAGAUUCAGAUAUUUCUUUCCCUGUUUGUUUCAAAAUGAAUCCUGCUUUUGCUUUGAAUCUCAAUGAACCACUGAAUCAUGCUUCCUCUUUCAAUCUCAAUGAACCAGCAGAUAACUUUCUUUUCGAUUUAAAUCAGCCUGCAAAUGAUGGCUUCUUUUUUGAUUUAAAUCAACCUGCAGAUGGAGACACAGAAACAGAAUGGCAAACAAAUCAGAGAGGCACACCAGCUGCUGCUGUUCAGCACAAAAAAAGGCCUAAACUCAGCUGUGACACAAGAAUGCAAGUACUCAUGUGGCUUUUGAACAAUCAAACAAAUGGAAAACUGCACAGAGGUUCAAUUCAAGAAGCAGCAAAUAAUUAUAACGUCACAACAAGAACUAUCAGCACUAUAUGGAGCAUUGCACAGAGGCAGAAGGCAGCUGGACAAGCAUACAACAUGGCAACCAAGGGUCAUAAUGCAGGUAGAAAAAGAAUUCAAGUACAACCUAAUGCUAUAACUGAAAUCAACAUGGGGGACAGAGCAUGCAUAAGAGACUUAGCAGUGCAGUUAAAAGUGAGUACAAGUACAGCAAAUAGAAUGAUAAAGAGGGGACUCAUUAAACCUCACACAAACCCUUUACACCCUGCUUUGAAAGAUGCAAACUUAAAGCAAAGAGUUGAAUGGGCUUUAAAUUUGUUAAUGGGAGACACACCAGCAGCCAAGAGACAAUACUAUCCUAUGUUCAACUUUGUUCAUAUCGAUGAGAAGUGGUUUUAUUUAAGCAAAAAAUCACAAAGGGUUUACUUGGAAAAAAAUGAGAAGGGUAAGUAUAGGGCUGCCAAGUCCAGCAAAUUCAUACCGAAAGUUAUGUUCACUGCUGCGGUGGCAAGACCAAGAUUCAAUGCAAACAACGAGUGCACCUUUGAUGGGAAAUUAGGCAUCUUCCCGUUCACUUACCAAGAACCGGCUAAAAGGGCUUCUAAAAACAGAGCUAAGGGUACAAUAAUGACUAAGGUUGUCGAAUCAGUUGGCAAAAAAGAAACAAGAAGCAUGCUAAUUAAUCAGAUCAUACCAGCAAUUAUGGAAAAAUGGCCGAUAAGUGAAGGGCCAAAAGUUAUAUACAUACAACAGGAUAAUGCAAGGACGCAUAUAAAUCAAGAUGAUGCAGAAUGGCAACAAGCUCAUAAACAAGGGGAUUUCACAUUUAUUCUUGUGCAGCAACCACCAAACAGCCCAGAUUUAAAUAUUUUGGACUUGGGGUUUUUUAGAAGCAUUCAAUCUUUGAUGCACAAAAAAAUGCCUAAAGAUGUUGAUGAUAUGAUGGAGGCUGUACAUGAGGCCUAUUUCGAACUAGAUGCAACUACACUGGGAAAUGUAUGGUUAUCCUAUCAAUAUAUCAUGAAUGAAGUGCUUAAAGUGAAGGGUUCCAAUGACUAUCUCGUACCCCAUGUUAAUAAGAAGAAAUUAGCAGCUGAGGGUAAGCUGCCGUUUCAAGUCACUGCACCUAUGUGGGCUGUCCAUGAGGCAUGGAAUUAUUUACAUGGAACAGGUUAAGUGUAUAUUUAAUGCUUUUGUGUUUUUAUGGCAUGUAUUAGACUUAAGCUUAACUACAAGCAGUACAUGUAAUUGAAACUGUCUAGAAGCUUUUGUGUUUUGACUAGUACAUGUGUAUGCUCUAUAUUUAAGUCACUAACAAGCAGCAAACAUCACUGAUCAAAGGAAUCACUUUAUGCAAAUAUUAGUCAUAUGAUAACACUAUGGUCCUCUGUAAUGUAAGAAGUAGAACCUGUUCUGGAGUUUCGAUCUUAUCCUUGCCUAGUUCCUUCCUUUUGGCUUCUUCCAUCAUUUUGGUAUACCUGAAUAACAGGAUACCAAUCAAUUAAAUACUGAAGGGCUGCAACAGACCACAUCUCAUGUACCAAAUAAAUAGUUAAAAACAUCUGUUAAUUUGAAACAAUUAGCAAAUAUUGCAGAUUUAACGAGCUAAUUACACUUCACUUUAGACUAAUGACAGGCCUUGCACCAUGUGAUCCUGUCAAUAUACCAGGUAAACACAAUGGUGCUUCAGUGUCGAUAUUUUGAUUAAGCCAUAUUCCGGGAACCAAAACAGACUGCUGACUGCUGAUCUAUACCUUAAUUAUAUGCCACGGCUUCUUGUCACAAUUCCAUCCAGUAUUUCCCCACUACUGAUCUGAGCAUUCCUUGUUUCAGUGUCUUGACCCUGUAAGUGUGCAGAUUAAGUGAUGGUUCAAAAUCUCAGAUACAAAUGAAUACAAAACCUGCCAAAAUCACAGGGAUAUUUAACCUACCAUACCUAAAAUUUAUUCAGUAGAUGACUAUAUAAUCUUAGUCCAACUACAGUAAAUUUUAAAGAUUGAUUCGUUAUGCAUCUGUGAUUUUAAAGCACUACAGCAUCACAAUUAAAGGAAGAAAAUAAUAAAACACAACAGUCAGAAUUAAAGGAAGAAAAUAAUAAACUACAGCAUUUCACAUGAUAUGAUGUUAGCAUAUCUUCACAAAUUUUCAAAAUCACGAUUACAAAUUAAAUUAGGAACCGAUUCUACCACUCCCCUACAAAUUAAAUCAGGAGUAGAACAUUGCAUAUACAUGAAAAAUUCAACCAGAAUUAAAAAAAACAACAGUCAAAUCAAACUAAGUCAUUACCGAAUCAAAAUCAACUAAGAUCUCAUAAAACAACAAUCAAAAUCCCUAAUCCCUAAUUCAUAUAAAUUACCAACACAAAUCGAGAUCACCAUCAAGAGAAAAUGCAAAAAUUCAAGGAAAUUACUAAAAUCCCUAAUUCAAGACCGAGAGCAUGCAUCUUGUGAACUAUCAGCCUCAACAUCGUCGUUAUCGGAGUCAUCGAUCCACGGAUCUGGAGCAACUACGGGGAACGGUUCAACUGGAUCCGAAACAAGAGGAGACGGAGGAUCAUUAUAUUCAACCUCAGGCUUAUCUACCGUCGCUUCCGAUUUGUCGGCUGAUUCAGAAUAAUUAGCUUGUAGUCCUCUCAAUCCAGCAUUUUCUUGACUAUACAUGUGUUCCCCAUCGCAAUCAACACCUUUGUCACAGUGAUCGGGAUCGGAGCAAGCAUAAGCGACUGUGUUAACGGAUUCAUCGUCAGAAUCUGAAAAUCCAUAGUGAGAAUUCAUGUCUCUGAUGAUUAAAGGAGAAUAAGGCUUGACGAAAAAAAAAGGAAAGAGAGAAAAGGGAUAAUGGGGAGAGAAAAGGAAAGAGAGAAAAGGCACAUUAAUGGGGUAGGUGGGGUGAGUAACAGCUGGAGUGAGAAGUUUGACCAGAUAGUAUAUAAAAUUGAGUACCCCAGUUGCCUAAAAUGGAAAUAAGAAAUGUAUUGUGAAUUGCCGUAAAAGGAAAACAGGAAAAGAAUUUAGGGACGGAGGGAGUAUAUAUCAAAAAAUAAAGAGGAAUAUAUAUAUAAUGUAGAAUUAUUAAUAAAUAUCUAACCAAAGGAAAAUCCUUUGAUUAGACACAUAAAAAUUUAAAAUUUUAACUGAAGAAUAAAAAUUGAGUUUAAAAUCUAAUUCAUAUAUUAAAUGUAAUGACCAUCAAAAAGGUAACGGAAGCCAUAAAAAUGGCACUAAAAGCCAUUAAAGGCAUAAAAUGUCAUCAAUAAUGACCCCAUAAAUGGUACUAAAUAUUCAUAAAGAAUAUUUAUCCAAUCACAAUUUAAAAUGUAACAAAUCAAGAUCUACAAUUACUACUAUCAAAAUCAAAUAAUAUUCAAAUUUACAAUUCCAAAUAAUAUUCAAAUUUACAAUUCUAAAACUAAAAUCAUGCCAUAAAAUAAUUCAAUCAGAAAAACACUAAUUAAGUGACCACUACUAAUUCAACAUGACACCCGUAUCAACUCUUGGAUUAAUUGACUCAGUAGCGACAAAAAAUUAAAAAGCAGCUCAGACAAUAAUAAACAAAAUAAUGCAACAUUAAAACUAGGAUCAUGCGACUCGGGCGUUACUUGGCUGAAAAAAGAACUAACAGGAAACAAUACUCAGAACUAAAUCCAGGCAAUCAUUUAAGCUAGUGAAAUCAGCAGAAGCGCACAAAACUAGCAAAUCAAACGACGCAAACACGGUUUCACUCAACUCGGUGCUAAACAAAAUACUCGGGAUGGCGACUCAGACCAAACUAUGCAUCAAAACUCAAAACUCAGCAUCACAUACUUCAACACAGUGCUGUAACUCAGAAAAUGCAAAACCAAAACAAAACUAAAAACGAGACAAGGACUACAACUUGGAAACAAAACGUAAACACAAACUCGACCCAUCAGCGCAAAAUUGACGUAUGAUCCAAUACAUAUGGUACAUAAAGAAAAAGUAAAACAAUUAUAUACAAAUAAAAAGAACUGAAAGGUGAAAAAACACAGAGAAGACAGAUCUAGGCAAAUGAAAGAGAGGCGCAAGUACAGUACCGUUUUUCCGGUGAUACCCUUGUCGAUAAACACCGCCACCGCCGGCGGCGCCGUGCCGAAACAGCGGCGAUAGAGCAGGUGCGAAUCGGAGGAGAAAAUAGCAGAGUCGCUUAUUUCAGUGUUGGGGUGUUUGCAUUUUAAAGAAAAGGGUUUCAGGCGAUCGGAAAACAACUCCGGCAAGCGUAGAGAGUAUGAUUUUGAUAUACCACUGUAUUUAACAUAAUUGAUUCACUGAUAUUCAUUAUUAAGAUCUUCACGAAGAAACACACAGGUCGGCCCACCCCGUAUUGUAACUUUGAGCAUGCAAAAAAAUGCUUAUAUUAUUACUCUGAGUCAGCUUUGCAUUUCUCGAUAGGAAAGCAAUUUAUAUUGCAAUUAAUGGCACCGAAUAAAAUGCCAAACUCAAGUUGUAAUGUUUGCACAAUAUAUUUUAAACUGAAGUUGCAAUGCAUCUUAUAUCAGCUAAGAAAAGUUGUGAUAUAUUUAAGAAAUUGUGCCAGAUAUUGUACUUACAUAUCAGGAAAGAGGAUGUUUAUCCUCCAACAGACUUAGAAAAUUGAUGGCAGCCAAGAAAUGUUUCUCUUAAGUAAUAAACCAUGGACGAUACUGAAUGGAAUGAUGAAAAUAGAAAGUAGAGGAUAGAUGCCUAUGCUUGGAAUCAGUAAUGGCUCCUGUACGAGAACAACCUUUAUCCUCAACCAACUCGCAAAAGUUUUACUUUCUGAAAGCAUGUCAUUUAUUGACAGAAAAAAAAUGGUCAAGACAUUAUUGACAAACUGCAACCAUCUUAUCAAUAAUAGUAUCAGUUACACAACAAUAAUCUUGCUUACUACAUAUUAGUCCCCACUCCCAAACAAACAUCAUUUUUAUAUUCUCUGUGAUUUCUGCAUUUAAAAGUCUCGAUUCUAUCCUAGUAGAGUUCAAUGUUAUUCCGCUAUCUGCAGUAAAACUAUAUAUAUAGGCACAUCAAUCACUCCGUGUUCACGCUUGCCAUAUUCGAAAACAAGCAUACAGGAUCCCCUCAUUCCCCUCAUUCUUAGGGGCCGUUUAGGUGAACUUAAAAUAAGUGUUUCUUACUUAAAAUAAAAAAGUGGAGUAGAAGUUAGAAGCAAGUUAAGACUUAUAAGUGAUUAAAGUGUUUGAGAAAUAAGCAGAAGCCCUGAAACAAAAGCUAGCAUUCCUAGCUUUUUAUAAGUGCUUCUUGACUUUUUACACAAACGGUACAAAUAAGUGCUUCUAACUUAUAAACCAGAAGCCCAGCUUAAAAGCCGGAAACAAACACCCCCUUAAUAAACCAACACUCAAUAACUCAUCACAUUGUACAAGAUACCUCUUCUUCUCUCGAUAACAAAAGGUCGAGGGUUCGAGCCUCAUUGGCGGUAUGGCAAGUAGUAAAAUUCAUGUAAUUGACCAUUAAAAAGAAAAGAGCGCCCUCAUUUCUCUUAGAAUCGACAUUAAAACCGGUUAAGCUCGUUAUACCUAAAAAAUCUUAAAACACAUUCAAUCCAAACUCCAAAGGAUAUGCAGAAGAUCAAUAAUUUGACAUAAAAUUUUGGAAUAAAUAAGAGAGAAAAGUGUGUGUAGAGAUGCUACCUUUCAUUAUUUUGGGGGCACAAACUUCAAAAAUGACUGGGAGGGAGUACAAGAGAGAGAUGUGUUUACAUAUAGAGAGAAAUGAAGAUACAAAGCGGG
rnacentral:lncRNA from 1 species